rnacentral:rRNA from 1 species
ACGGGGUGCAGCAGGCGCGAAAACUCCACAAUGCGCGCAAGCGUGAUGGGGGGACUCCCAGUGUUCCUCAAAAGAGGAACUUUUGUAGUAUGUAAAAAGUACUACGAAUAAGAGCUGGGUAAGACUGGUGCCAGCCUCCGCGGUAAAACCAGCAGCUCGAGUGGUAGCCACAACUAUUGGGCUUAAAGCGUCCGUAGCCGGCCUAGUAAGUUCUCUGUGAAAUCCUUAGGCUUAACCUAAGGGCUGGCAGAGAAUACUGUUAGGCUAGGAGCCGGGAGAGGUUGAGGGAAUUCUAGGGGUAGCGGUGAAAUGCUAUAAUCCCUAGAGGACCACCAAUGGCGAAAGCACUCAACUAGAACGGUCUCGACGGUGAGGGACGAAAGCUAGGGGAUCAAACCGGAUUAGAUACCCGGGUAGUCCUAGCCGCAAACGAUGCGGACUUAGUGUUUCUCGAACUUCGGGUUCGAGAAGCGCUGGAGGGAAACUGUCAAGUCCGCCGCCUGGGGAGUACGGCUGCAAGGCUGAAACUUAAAGGAAUUGGCGGGGGAGCAC